UCACAUCAAGUAAAAACACUGUUUCCCAUAUGAUCACCAAAGUUAAGCAAUGUUGAGCCUGGUCGGUACCUCAAUGAAUGACCACCUGGGAAUACCAGGU